rnacentral:rRNA from 1 species
CCAGCAGCCGCGGUAAUUCCAGCUCCAAUAGCGUAUAUUAAAGUUGUUGCGGUUAAAAAGCUCGUAGUUGAAUUUCUGCCGAGGACGACCUACCCACCUUAGGGUGCGUGUCAGCGUCGACCGAGGCAUCCUCCUAGCGGCGACUGUGCUUCACUGUGCGGAUCGUUCUAGGACUUUUACUUUGAGGAAAUUAGAGUGUUUCAAGCAGGCUUAUGCCUUGAAUAAUUUAGCAUGGAAUAAUAAUUUAGGACUUCGGUUCUAUUUUGUUGGUUUCUAGAACUGAAGUAAUGAUUAACAGGGACAGUCGGGGGCAUUCGUACUCAACAGUCAGAGGUGAAAUUCUUGGAUUUGUUGGAGACGAACUACUGCGAAAGCAUUUGCCAAGGAUGUUUUCAUUGAUCAAGAACGAAAGU